ensembl:lncRNA
CUGAGUCCAGGCCUAUUGGCUAAAAAUCUGGAUUUUCCCGAAAUUCACCUGCACUGGUUUCUCUCCAACCCUCCUCUGUGCACCCCAAGCUUCCCAGCUCAGAAGUGCGCAGCUGCCCUCCUCUCUGGCUUCCUGGCCUCCCUACCCAUCUCCUGGUGCUGUUCGACAAGUGACGCCUGGCUCCAUCACGGGUGGCGCCCGAACAGGGACCUGAAUACGGGGGACCAUAGUGAAGGACACCACGGAUUGUGAGCUCAGAUAAGUAAAUUAAGGGCGGUGAAUGCACUCGGGAGUAACAAGAUGGGUAUUGGUAACAGCCGAAUGCUUUUUGAGCAUAUGCUUAAAAUAUGCUUCGCGCUCGUGGAGCAAAGGACGCUGAAGGUGCCAGGUGGCUGCCUGAAAGAUGGGUCCGUUUUGCGGGAAAUUCUCCUGCCCCUUAGGAUGAUCCCGACAACUGUCCUGCUGGUAAAUCUAAUGAUGACGCUUAAUGAGAAGGUUUAUUGGACUUAUGUACCUGAUCCACCUGUUGUACAUCCAACGAGCUGAAAAAAUGGAGAAGUAAUGGUAUGGGUGAACAAUACCAGGCUGUUGGAUGAGCCGGCGGCACCUGACAAGAACGAGGUCCGAUUGUUCAACUAUACGGGAUCAGAAACCGGAACCCCCAUAUGUUUCUUCAAAAUCAACAGAACUGAUCGUAUAAGACUGAGUGCUCGCACCCUGGCAGGAAGGCAGGUAGAUCAAUGCAAAGGCGGGAUCACUGGAGUCCAUCUACAUCUACCUGUGGGUAUAGAGGCCACUGGUGUAGUGCCUCCAACUUUUAAUGCUCCAGUGGGACUGUUCCAUAGAAGAGAUGUGUGGCAGAUGCCCCUGUGAGAUAUAAUAUUACUGGAUUUGAUACUUAUGUUUUGGACUGGUCUGAAAAUUCUUGUCAUCCCAAAAGAAAUGUCACUGCACAUGUCAUGCGCUCUUAGGUAUUGCUUGUAGGAAAUAUUAGUGUUCAGAAAGAUUAUGAUUAUUAUAAUGUAAUUUACUUCAAUUGUCAAAUAAGCAAUUGUGUCACCCGAACAGAAAAUCAGAUAAGGGUUUUGCGAAUGUGUUCUUAGAUUUGGAUAUUAUAGAUCUCCAAAAUGCAGAACCCCUAAAAUUUGAUGCAGCCCAGGCUGCACAGGAUUUUAUCGAACAAAUUAGAAAAGUCCUGCCAUCUACAUCUGCAUUUACACGGUAACUCAUUUCCAUAGUAAUUAUUGGAGGAGGGAUGCCUCUUAGAUGCAUGCUCCUUCCGGCGCUACUACAGAUGUUUAUGCAUUGUUUAAUGAGGAUGGCUGGAAGUAUUCAUGGUCUACAAUUACAUGCUACACCACCUAAACCCAUGGUGUAAUUCCCUGCAGAGGCUGGUAGUCAAUGACGGGUAAGAGGAAUACAGGAAAUCACCAACCCAAGACAGAGCAAGAGUACUGUGACGCUCUUGACUCCAUGACGGGUAAGGGAUUUCUUUAUAUUCCUCACCUGAGACAGGCACAGCCUAUCUGCGUGAUCAAGGGACCUUGAUCAUAAUAUAUAAAACAGGGGGAGAUGUGGAGAGCGGUGUUAGCCAUAGAGGCUCCAUGUUAAAUCUUACCCUCCAUUGUAUAGAGCAAGGAGACUCUGUGACGAGGAACCGCGUCCUUGUCAAAUUAGAUGUUUACCUUCAGAAAUUGUCCUGGAACAUGAUGGACGUUUUGUAAACCCGAGAAACAAGAAAGCCCAUGAGGGUGGGGAAUUUCCAAAGAAUUAGAGAACAAGGAAGCAGGUGUCUUUGGGUAAGGGUCAUGAUGAACAACCAAACUCACCUGUGAUAAAAAGGGGAGGAGAAUAAAAAAGUGGUGGCGGCAGUCUCUCUGGGAGGCUCCCGACUCCAUCUCUGCGUCUUUCUUUUUCUUCAUCCUCACUCCCCCAUUCAGGUGCUGUUCGACAAGUGACGGCGGGCUCCGUCACCCCCUAGUUGGUCCCCACAUCCCCUCCUGCCUGCUCCCCUGGGAAAUAGAAAAUUAACCUUUCCCUGGGGUCUAUUCACAUGACCUUGGUUUAGCCCAACCCAGACAGGAGGGCAGGUUCCAAAGGAGCAGAACAAAGGGGAAAACAAAGCCUUCAGGGCCCAGCAGUUUCCUCUAGGAGAGCUGGGGCUGCUGAUAGCAUCGAGUGAUUCUGCAGAGCAGAUAUGGGGAAGGAUCCCUGCUGAAGAUGGAUCCUGGUGAUCACUCUGCCAGGUCCCCCUGGGCCCCAUCUGGGCUGAGUCAGGGACUCCAGCUCCCUCUUGCUGGCUCACCACCCCAGGAAAGCAGGCAGAAGUCCUCCCAAGACAGUCCUGCCCCAACCCGUCUGGAGGAGGUGUCACUUGCUGUGAUUUAGGGGACCACUAUACCCCAAAUUACUUCUUCCCUCUCUGCUUCCUUGAAGUGGAAGGAGCUGCCAAACAUAACUUGGAAUGAAUAAUGACUGUAGCACAUCUGUCCAUGAACUGUAUGUCAGCUUAAAAUAACAAUAUAGCAGAAAUAUGUUGUCUUUGUGCUUUGUGUGAGCUAUUGCAAAACCCCAUCUGCGUCAACUUGUCCCUGUUUGAAAACAUGCUGGGUUACCCUUUCCCCUCAGAUGGGGCAGCCUGUUCCUGAAAAGAUAAGAGAACAGCCUUGAAAUUAUUUAUGUAACCCCCCCAACCUUGAAGCUAUGGAAAGGUCCCUUGCUGUUUUGCCACCCAGCUGUGUAACUGCAAUUUGAACUUCUUACUCUGUAAAUGCUAUACAAAGGAGAAGCUUUCAUAACUCAUGGUCAGUCUAUAAGGACCUGUUUCCUGAGACUGGCCAUUGCCUGGCAAUAAACUUUUCUUAUUUUCCCCAAC